CCUUGGAGUAAAGUAGCAGCACAUAAUGGUUUGUGGAUUUUGAAAAGGUGCAGGCCAUAUUGUGCUGCCUCAAAAAUACAAGGAUCUGAUCUUC
rnacentral:pre_miRNA from 7 species